UUCACGGAGAGUUUGAUCCUGGCUCAGGACGAACGCUGGCGGCGUGCUUAACACAUGCAAGUCGAACGAUGAAGCCCU
rnacentral:ncRNA from 1 species